UUUGAUAAAAAUUAACCCUAAUGGGUCAAGUAUAUGUACAAUAGUUUUUAAUUAACCAUUUCUUUUUUUCUUUUUUUACGGUUAGCACCAUACCCCAAAACUCCAGCGUGUGAGGGAUCUCAAAAGGCCCUUGUGUCAUGAUCGAUUUAUUUAUGCGCAGGACAAGAUAACUAGUUCUUCUUUCAUAGGAACCUUUAUGCAGCAGCUGAAUAAACGAGAACAAACCAUGUUAGAGGGGUGGCGGCUGAUAAAUGAGAAGAUGUCUGUACUGAAGGAGGAGCUCGAGGACAAGCUGAAUGAGGAAGCUCUUGCUGAAGGGCUGUACAAGAAGUCUGGCAGAUUAGUACUCCUUGGCCUUGGCAAUGCUGGCAAAACGACGCUUCUGCAUAUGCUGAACGAGCACAGACUGGGUCUGCAUGUGCCGACCUUUGACCCCAGUAAGUGUACACUGCACUGCACCUUUCACAGAAUGCUGCAUGUUGAGCUUGCCUGGCUUUGGUGUCCACUGAUUCAUGUGAGCUACAGUGGCGGCGCAUGGGUUUUAAAAUAGAGGAGGCACACUAACUUAAUUGUGUUGGUCUGGGAUCCCUGCCGAUUAUUAUUAUUAUUUGCUUAACCGCUUUAAAAUGGCUUUUUGGUUGCUUUAGUGAGAAAUGUAAAGAAAAUGACACACAAGUAGGGCUGGACAAUAAUUCAAUAUCAAUAUGUAUCGACGAUAAAAAAAAAAUUCAAUAACGGUGAUAUGGUUUUUAAACACAUUUCCGAUAUUUCGAUAUACCAGUGUUCCCAAUACAUUGAUUUAUUUGUGGCGUUUGACUUCGUUGAAUAAAUAUGAGCACUGCACGUUUCAAAAUCAAAACACGUCGCGGGUGUUUUAUAUGAAUGUAUCUCUGAAGGAACCGACUGUUUUCAGAAAAGUUUCGAUGGCAUUUUCAUUUUAUCUGAUAAAGAAGCGUUCAUAAGCGCAGCUGCUUUAAUUAAUAGCCGUUACUGGAGAAACCCAAUUAUAAAAAAAAAAAUACUAAACUAAGUUACUGUAUUCUAUUAAA
rnacentral:lncRNA from 1 species